AUAAAAACAAACCUUAUGUUUAUGUGUCAACGUUUAACUGUCUAUUUUAUAUAAAUUUUUUUAUAAUUAGUAUUUUUAUUGUUGUUAGAUGAUAACAUAUGAUUAAUACUUUAUGCGUUGUUUGUUUUUUUUAACUUUUUAUAUUAUUUUAAAUAAGAUGGACAGUCAAACGCCGGACUCG
rfam:Oryza sativa (indica cultivar-group) chromosome 4, whole genome shotgun sequence.